rnacentral:rRNA from 1 species
UACGUAGGGAGCAAGCGUUGUCCGGAAUCAUUGGGCGUAAAGCGCGCGUAGGUGGCCACAUAAGUCCGUUGUGAAAGUCAAAGGCUCAACCUUUGAAAGCCGAUGGAUGCUGUGUGGCUAGAGUACGGAAGAGGCGAGUGGAAUUCCUGGUGUAGCGGUGGAAUGCGCAGAUAUCAGGAGGAACACCAAUAGCGAAGGCAGCUCGCUGGGACGUUACUGACGCUGAGGAGCGAAAGCGUGGGGAGCAAACAGG